CCUACGGGUGGCUGCAGUGGGGAAUAUUGCACAAUGGGGGAAACCCUGAUGCAGCGACGCCGCGUGAGUGAAGAAGUAAUUCGUUAUGUAAAGCUCUAUCAGCAGGGAAGAAAAUGACGGUACCUGAGUAAGAAGCCCCGGCGAACUAAGUGCCAGCAGCCGCGGUAAUACGUAGGGGGCAGGCGUUACCCAGAUUUACUGGGUGGAAAGGGAGUGUAGACGGCAGUGCAGUGCUGGAGUUAAAGGCGGGGGCUCAAACCAGAGACUGCUCUGGAAAAUGUACGGCUGGAGUGCAGGAGGGGAGAGUGGAAUUCCUAGUGUAGCGGUGAAAUGCGUAGAUAUAAGGAGGAACACCAGUGGCGAAAGCGGCUUACUGGCCUGUAACUGACGUUGAGGCUCGAAAGCGUGGGGAGCAAACAGGAUUAGAUACCCUUGUAGUC
rnacentral:rRNA from 1 species